rnacentral:rRNA from 1 species
CAUUCAUGGAGAGUUUGAUCCUGGCUCAGGACGAACGCUGGCGGCGUGCUUAAC